GGGGCCUCUGGAGCCAGUCUUCCCUAGGUGAAAUCCUAACUUUGCCACUUACUAGCUAUGUGAACUUGGGCAAGUGACCUAAUCCUCUGCGUUUCAUCUCUAAAUUGGGGAGAAUAGAAGCAUCUAUUUCAUGUAGUAGCCAGGAUUAGAAGAGGGAGGAAUAACUGGGCACUGGAUAGAAUGUGAUGAAUGAAUAUUCUUAAUGAGAAGUGGAAAUAAUUUGUGGUUGAGAGCUAUGCCUCAGAUCAGAGUGACAGGAUACAUGGCUAGGCUAUAUUUUCCAGCAGAUUAAGAGCUGUAGCCCAAGACUCUGAAAUACGAAGAAAAAAGGAGAAGAUGACAGCAUAUCUUUUUAAAGAAAUAUUUUCCAGCCAAAUGGUGCAGCAGAGGACUUCCAGGAAUUUGUUCUUGUUCUCUAUCAAAGGUGAAGAGUUCAUAGCCUUCAAGGAAACAAGAAACCAUGGGAUGGAGUGAAGGAAGGUGGCCUGGAACCAGCCGCUGAGCCUCUCUGAGCCCCAGUUUCCUCAUCUCUAAAAUGGGGCUGAUCUCCUCUCCCUCAGAUUGUUGUUGCAGGAAUUGAAUGAGGUUUUGAGUGGGAAAGCAUCAGUCCUGUAGCAAAUGGCCCC
rnacentral:lncRNA from 1 species